CAUUGCUGUACAACCAAGUGAUCGAGUUAUACACCUGCUCACACCUCGUCCACUCUUUUUCAGAUUCUUCUCCCAUGUACACCAUCACAGAACGCUGGGUAGAGUUUCCUGUGCUACACAGCAGGUCCCCAUUUCAUUUCCCAUACGUUAUUGAGUGUCACUUACUGAGCAGGUGCCAGGGGUCAGGGGGAGGCUGAGGGCACGUGUGGCUAAUGCAGUUCAGCAGAAUCGAGGUGUCAGGCACCAGGCGGUGACCAGAGGCUCCAAGAUGAAGCAGGGCAAGCCCCCCGCACCAUGGCACCAGCCUCUCAGUUCACUCGCUGCCCCACCCCACGGGGACAGAGCUCUGUGACAGGCCAGGCGAAACAAGCACAGUAAACGACAGACCCUGCCUGUCAAAAUGUUCCAACCCAUCCGGGGAGAGACGCACACCACUUUCUGGAAGACUCUUCUCAGCACAAGUAAUAAAAGGUCCAAGAGAAACGGGUUCAAGUGAGAAGGAAUUGCAGUGUCUAACAGAGCUGAAGAGUGCAGGGUGUUCCAGCAUCAGGAGAUGCGUAACCAAGACCCACAAGACAUCUCCAGAACCCCAGGAACCGAUGGACCAGGAUGGGGAAGAAUGGACCCCCGAGAGGUUAUUACUGGAAGGAGAGAGAUGGGUGCUGGGCAACCAGGAGACUCCACAGCAACCAGCUGGACGCCAAGCCAGGCUAUGAACUGUUUCCGAGAGGACCGGCGAGGAGGGAGAGAGAUUCCAUUGGCAGGUGGUUACAGGAAAGGUGACAUUUAAGCUGAGACUUGAAGGAGCAUUUCCCUAAUGCCUUUGCAGCAUAUGGAUGGACCCAGAGACGCUCAUACUAAAAGAAAAUGUUCUACUUGGAAGGCAACUGCAACACUUGGAGGUAGAGCUGCCUUUUUGUGACCAUGAGGAAGAAAGCUCUCAGGGACGGCUCGCUGGAGACUGGAAAACUGUGGGCGGCAAACAUCUGGGGGCUGCUGUCUUGCUGGACCCUGAACUCAGGGAGUUAGGGGACUCGAAGGGCCAGAAGGGACUGGAUGCAUUGAGGCCACUGCCCAUCAGACCCUGAGUGCCCGCCCCGCUCUCUGCCAAGCUGGUAUGCGGCUGUGUCUCCAUACCUCCAGAGAAGGGGACUUGACUGCCCCCAGGAUGCUGGCUUCAUUAUGAGGACCCUGGGGACAGGUGGCAGGUUUUGUUUGACAUGCACAGUCAGAACCUGGCACCGGGUCAGUUCUAGAAAUGCCUAUCCUGUCCCCUCCGUUUAGCACCGGGGUUAACUGAGCUGGGCGCUAAAUGCUGGGGGAUCUGAGACAAGUAAACUCCGUUUCUGGCCUUGGAGUCCACAGAGGGGGAAGGGAGGAAACAGGUGAUGACAAAACAGUGUCACGGAUGCCACACUGGGGUCAUGCAGGUGUAAUGGUUGCGUGGGCACAGAGAGGGGACUCUCGUCAGGCA